GUGAAAAAUGUAAAUCACGGCCUCGUCCCUUGUUAGAGCCAGAAGGCGCUUCAACAUCAGUGAAAGACGGUCGUGUAUUUGUGUUAUAAAGUAAUCCACCAAGCCCAUUACGUCAUCAAUAUGUCUGAUCAACGCGGCCUUGUCCCUUGUUAGAGCCAGAAGGCGCCUCAACAUCGGUGAAAGACGGUCGUGUAUUUGUGUUAUAAAGUAAUCGAUCACGCCCAUUACGUCAUCAAUAUGUCUGAUCAAUCAGAAUCUACUAAAACCAACCCUGUUACAUAUCAUUUUAACGGCACCAGUUAUGUACAGCUUGGUAAUCACAAUGUCGUCGAUCACCAAUUUACUAAUCAACUAAAAGAAGAAGUGGACGCCAUGAAAUAUGAACUCGCUAUUAGGGACGAUAAAAUAGAGACAUUAACGCGUGGAAUGAACCAACUGACAGAGAGAGUGAGGAUUCUAGAAGAUGAAAAAGUGGUAAAAGAAACUGACGUUAAUAAUAAAAAUUCAGACAAGACAGAUGAAAUGAUUACUCUCCAGAUAUUCUUCUAUUCCAGUCCUUGGUGUGGAGAUGUGACUAUAAUUAUUAGUAGAAAUCAAACAGUGAAUGAAUUAGAGAAGAUGAUACUGGAGAAGAAGCUUUUAAAGUAUGCUUGUUAUAUUGAUUCUAUCUACAGUGAUGAUGAUAAACAGUUCAAGUACCACUACAAACAACACAACAAACAUCUCUCAUUAUCACACUUUAAUAUAAAAGAUAGAGAUAGGGUCAACUGUUGGUGGUUCUAGUCUGUUGAUGGUGUAUAAAAUAUUAAAUCAUAUAUACUAACUAUAAAACAAUAUUAAACAUUUAACUUGAACAUUGAAUUCUAUCUAUAUAUACUAACUAUAAAACAAUAUUAAACAUUUAACUAGAACAUAUUAUACUGUAUAAAGUAAUGAUAUAGUUUGUAUGAUAUUAUACUGUAUAAAUAUAGUCUAGUAAUAAAAUAUUAAAUAUUUA